rnacentral:rRNA from 1 species
AGAGUUUGAUCCUGGCUCAGAUUGAACGCUGGCGGCAUGCCUUACACAUGCAAGUCGAACGGCAGCACGGGUGCUUGCACCUGGUGGCGAGUGGCGAACGGGUGAGUAAUAUAUCGGAACGUACCCUAGAGUGGGGGAUAACGUAGCGAAAGUUACGCUAAUACCGCAUACGAUCUACGGAUGAAAGUGGGGGAUCGCAAGACCUCAUGCUCAUGGAGCGGCCGAUAUCUGAUUAGCUAGUUGGUGGGGUAAAAGCCUACCAAGGCGACGAUCAGUAGCUGGUCUGAGAGGACGACCAGCCACACUGGAACUGAGACACGGUCCAGACUCCUACGGGAGGCAGCAGUGGGGAAUUUUGGACAAUGGGGGCAACCCUGAUCCAGCAAUGCCGCGUGAGUGAAGAAGGCCUUCGGGUUGUAAAGCUCUUUUGUCAGGGAAGAAACGGGAUUUUCUAAUACAAAGUCCUAAUGACGGUACCUGAAGAAUAAGCACCGGCUAACUACGUGCCAGCAGCCGCGGUAAUACGUAGGGUGCAAGCGUUAAUCGGAAUUACUGGGCGUAAAGCGUGCGCAGGCGGUUGUGCAAGACAGAUGUGAAAUCCCCGGGCUCAACCUGGGAAUCGCAUUUGUGACUGCACGGCUAGAGUGUGUCAGAGGGGGGUAGAAUUCCACGUGUAGCAGUGAAAUGCGUAGAGAUGUGGAGGAAUACCGAUGGCGAAGGCAGCCCCCUGGAUAACACUGACGCUCAUGCACGAAAGCGUGGGGAGCAAACAGGAUUAGAUACCCUGGUAGUCCACGCCCUAAACGAUGUCUACUAGUUGUCGGGUCUUAAUUGACUUGGUAACGCAGCUAACGCGUGAAGUAGACCGCCUGGGGAGUACGGUCGCAAGAUUAAAACUCAAAGGAAUUGACGGGGACCCGCACAAGCGGUGGAUGAUGUGGAUUAAUUCGAUGCAACGCGAAAAACCUUACCUACCCUUGACAUGUACGGAACUUACCAGAGAUGGUUUGGUGCUCGAAAGAGAACCGUAACACAGGUGCUGCAUGGCUGUCGUCAGCUCGUGUCGUGAGAUGUUGGGUUAAGUCCCGCAACGAGCGCAACCCUUGUCAUUAGUUGCUACGAAAGGGCACUCUAAUGGGACUGCCGGUGACAAACCGGAGGAAGGUGGGGAUGACGUCAAGUCCUCAUGGCCCUUAUGGGUAGGGCUUCACACGUCAUACAAUGGUACAUACAGAGGGCCGCCAACCCGCGAGGGGGAGUUAAUCCCAGAAAGUGUAUCGUAGUCCGGAUUGUAGUCUGCAACUCGACUACAUGAAGUUGGAAUCGCUAGUAAUCGCGGAUCAGCAUGUCGCGGUGAAUACGUUCCCGGGUCUUGUACACACCGCCCGUCACACCAUGGGAGCGGGUUUCACCAGAAGUAGGUAGCCUAACCGCAAGGAGGGCGCUUACCACGGUGGGAUUCGUGACUGGGGUGAAGUCGUAACAAGGUA